ensembl:lncRNA
CGGGGGCGAGGGGCGGGAUAGAGGCGGGACUCGGAGGCUGGCUGCGGGCGGCGAUUGGCCGGCCGCUGGGAGGGGAGCGCGGCGCGCGCCGAGCCCUGGAGCAGCCUGAGGGGGCCGGAGCGACAGCCAGGCUGGGGGCGGGAAGCGGGGGCGGGGUGGCGCAGGAAGAGCGAGCGCGGGGUGUGGGCGGCGCGGGGGCGCCGGCGCUAACGCGCGUGGAGGCGGCGCUCGGGAGGCGCGGUACGGCGGGCUGCAGGCCCUCGAGGGUCCGCAGGAUGCGCCCGGUGGCUCCCGCGCUAUUAUAGCAGGAACCAACAAAAUCCUCUGCAUAGCUUGAGGAGUUGGCCUUCUGAGCCUCGGAGCUGGUGUUGGUGGGCUCGGUGGUGUUCACCUGCCUGGGCUCUUACUUUCCAAGGAGAAAACCCCACAUUCUGGAUUCCAAAGGCUUAGGCAGGACGCAGGCUCAGGGCUCCAGAAGCCUGAAGUUGAACUGUGGAUCUCAACCCUUGGGGUUUUAGGAAAGACUGAAGCUUUUGGGCCCCCAUGCAGAGGGCUCUCUUCACUGCCCCCUGGUGGAAAGUCAAAGAAAGGAGCAGGCUGAGGAAGAAAGAAGAAGCUGACAGCUGCUGCUGCUGCAGUGGGCUCUCCUGGAGCCUUCGAUGGACAUGAGGGCAGCUUGUGCACCUAUAAAUUGGUGCUUCUGGGAAAUAGUGUUUGUGCUGUUUUCUAGGGACCCAGUGACAUCUUAAAAUAGAGAGGUAAAAUCGCCUAAAACUAAAAAAAAAAAAAAAACCUCUUAAGGUGUUCAAUUCUGCUCAUUUGAAUGACAGGCAGUGUGCAUGUAUAACCUGUACCCACUACCAUCCGUCUGCCAAGUUCAAAAUCGCUUCAUUCUUUUCCCUUGGAUAUUUUGUUUUUUCUGGUUUGGGUUUUGGCUGGUUGUCUGUCCCUUUGUUUUUGAGAUAGGGACUCAUGGAGCUCCAGUUGAAUGUCCCAGUCCUCCUGACGCCACCUCCCACGCGCUAGGAGUAGGGGAGCUGGGACUGAAGGUGGCCCCGAGCAGCACAGACAGGCGCCUUCCCAGUCUUCUCUUUUUAAGAAGGAACCACAGCCUUCACUCCAGCGCUCCAGUGGGAGGGAGCUGGCAGGUGCCUCGGGACAACCGGCUGUAACUGGCCUCAGCUCAGAGCCCCAGCUCUUGAUGAAGCCUGACAGAUGCACAGUGAGAUAGACAUUGGAGUUGGGUGGGAGCCCCCACCCACUCUUACAGACACUUGUGAGAGCCCAGGUUAGCAGGGACAGGGCCGAGAGGCAGCCUCCAGGGACCAGGUCAUCCGGGGGACUGGGGUGGAGGAGCUGUGUCUUACUCACAGGGUGCUGGGCCGGGUGAGUUCCCCCGACUCACAAGAAUUACAGCUUCUUCCCCGUAGGCUGUGCCUGCUGCACCUGGCAGACCGGAGCCAUGGCGGCUUCAGCAGGAGUGGGCUUAUUAAAGAGUGUCAGGGAGAGACCCAGAAAAAGAGCCGCAGCAACUAGUCCCAGUGAGAGCAGAGCAGCCCCCCACACACACCAUAGCCAUUGCCAGCCCCCGACCUAAUUGUCUCCGUAAGCAAGAGACCCCAGCCUGGCUGGCCUCCAGGGGACCCUGUUGACUCCCACAAGUCAGAGAACAACUUGCCUGAACUGAUUCACCUGAUUCUUUCCUGCCAUUGAGUCCUGAGGGUUGAAUUCAAGGCCUUAGGCCUGACAGCAAGUGCCUCCGCCACUUAACUUUCUCACUGGCCUAGUGGAAAGUUGUGUGUUUGUUUGAGACUGAGUCUCCAUGUGGUUCUGGCUGACCUGGAAGUCACUGUGUAGACCAGGCUGGUCUUGAACUCAGAGAUACACCGGCCUCCCAGUGCUGGAAUUAAAGUUAUCAUGAAAGUGAGCAAGGGUGAUGCCACUCAGGCUGAGCAGCAGGGUGCUGAGCUGGUGUCCUUGCAGAGAAGUCUUUUCCUGCAAAGCUGCAGUGGCCUCUUCAGGGCUGUGACUCAAGCCUCCAUUCCCGAGAAGCCAUCACCUCCUCCCAGCUUUGAGCCCCAGGCAAGUGCUUGGGGGGAAGGGAACGCCUGUGGUCGGCUCCAGCCAGGCCAAAGGAGUUUCCACCUUCCCUCCCAGCUCCAGGACCAGUGAGGCCCCAGGGCCUCUGGCCACACUGAGCCACAGCAGCAGCUUUACUCUUAGGUGACAGGGGUCUGAGUCACCGGCUGUGGGCUUGCGUGACUUGCCACGGCAGAACUUAGAGCAUGCAGCCUUAAGUUUGCGGUUCAGCAUCUGGUCUCAGCUGAAAAUCUCUAUUACCACCACAUCCACUUUCCGCUGUUCCCUCAAAGCCGGUGCCUGCUGGGUGCACAUAGCAUCAGUAGUGAAUGGGCACAUUCCCAGGGCCGGAUUGUCAUGGGAUGGACUUCCAUGUCACCAGGCCGGGGCCCCUACACUGCAGCUUGUGGGCCACUACAGGUCUUUUCAAAUAAAGUUGUGUUUGUUUGUGGUGUUUUUUUUAAAGUGUAUUUUUUAAAGAUUUUAUGUGUGUGUGCGAGCUUUUUGCUUACCUGUAUGUGUGUGUACCACAUGAGGCCAGAAAAUGGCAUCAGGUCU